CGCUGAGAAGCGAAAGCAUGGGGAGCGAACAGGAUUAGAUACCCUGGUAGUCCAUGCCGUAAACGUUGGGCGCUAGGUGUGGGGCUCAUUCCACGAGUUCCGUGCCGCAGCUAACGCAUUAAGCGCCCCGCCUGGGGAGUACGGCCGCAAGGCUAAAACUCAAAGGAAUUGACGGGGGCCCGCACAAGCGGCGGAGCAUGCGGAUUAAUUCGAUGCAACGCGAAGAACCUUACCAAGGCUUGACAUACACCGGAAUCAUGCAGAGAUGUGUGCGUCUUCGGACUGGUGUACAGGUGGUGCAUGGUUGUCGUCAGCUCGUGUCGUGAGAUGUUGGGUUAAGUCCCGCAACGAGCGCAACCCUCGUUCCAUGUUGCCAGCACGUGAUGGUGGGGACUCAUGGGAGACUGCCGGGGUCAACUCGGAGGAAGGUGGGGAUGACGUCAAAUCAUCAUGCCCCUUAUGUCUUGGGCUUCACGCAUGCUACAAUGGCCGGUACAGAGGGUUGCGAAACUGUGAGGUGGAGCUAAUCCCAAAAAACCGGUCUCAGUUCGGAUUGGGGUCUGCAACUCGACCCCAUGAAGUCGGAGUCGCUAGUAAUCGCAGAUCAGCAACGCUGCGGUGAAUACGUUCCCGGGCCUUGUACACACCGCCCGCCAAGUCACGAAAGUUGGUAACACCCGAAGCCGGUGGCCUAACCCUUGUGGGGGAGCC
rnacentral:rRNA from 1 species